GAGAGAUCAUUCCUGCCUAGUCCCAACAGGCCAGAAGCUGCACCAAAUAAACCCCUGUUGUUUCUUCCACAACCAAACACGAAAUUCUCGACUGGAGUCGCUCCAAGAGUGAGCCGGUCUCUGCCUAUCUCCCCCCGGAGUAUGGCAGGGCUGCGAGUUGCACUGCACCGAUCUGUACGAGGGAGACACCAACGGGUUGAAGAGGGGCUCCGGCUGAGUGUAGCACAGCCUACAGGGCUGGCAUUGCACCCAAGAGAGGUCACUUCCUGUGUCCACGAUCACAGUUAAGUUCCGAAUGCCUAAUGUUACUAUGACAAUGUAGUUUAGUGUCUGAAGCUGGAUGCCCGAACUGAUAGGAACACGGGCUUGUGAUGAUUCUACGUGACCAGAGACGACGUUCUUGAUUCGGGAUUGUAUGGAUUCGACUCGAACCACAUCAAGAGUCAGCCCUUUUUGUAGGUGUUUGAUGUGCUUCAUUUCUAAUAUGGUUGCACCAUCCUCUGUUCAUUACAGAAGAGAAUUUAACCUUAGUUUUAGUCUAUAUUUUGAAGCCUAUUACUCUGAUUCUUGAAAUCACACACAUAGUACUAUUGUAGAGAAAGGAAAAGAUAAACAUAUUAGAUAACCUUAUCUUCAACUACCUUAACUGAGAUUCCUAAACAAAAGAUAAAAGAUGCAAAGUCAUGCAGGCAUGUUUUCUUGCAUAUAUACAGUUAAUACUCACUUGGUGUAUGCGAGAAUCGGGCAGGGGCAGGCGUCGUUGUGAGGCGUUUGAGCGAGAGAAGCUCCUUCUCAGCGAGACUGAAGACCCCGCUGAAGCAACUGAAGGCAACGAGAAUGAGGAGAAGCACCAUUGUUUUGUUCCCUGGGAGAGAUAAGAGAAGAGUGAAAAUGUGGAGAGUGAAAUUAAGGAAAAUGGGGAGAAAGAAAUGGUUUAGAGGGAGAAGAGAUUCUUAGGAGUUGGAGUUUGGCAUGACAACAAAAGGAGGAGUUGGCUGACGACCCCACUUUUGCAUGAGAAAUUAUUGGGAUUUCACGUGCAGAAACUUAGGGGGAUGCAUAAAUAAAAAACCACAGAAAAUAAUAUUGUGUUGUAGGAAAAUAAUUUUGAUUUUUGGAAUUGGUUUUGAAUGGAUAUGGUCUCUCUUCACGGA